CCCUUAGAUGUUCUGGGCCGCACGCGCGCUACACUGAUGCAUUCAACGAGUCUAAAACCUGGUCUGAUAGGGCUGGGUAAUCUUUUGAAUGUGCAUCGUGAUUGGGAUAGAUGAUUGCAAUUCUUCAUCUUCAACGAGGAAUGCCUAGUAAACGCAAGUCAUCAGCUUGCAUUGAUUACGUCCCUGCCCUUUGUACACACCGCCCGUCGCUCCUACCGAGUGAAUGUUCCGAUGAAUACCAUGGACUGAGAGUAUGAAUGGGUUCGCCUAUUUCUGCUUCUCGGGAAGUGGAGUAAAUCUUAACAUUUAGAGGAAGGAGAAGUCGUAACA
rnacentral:rRNA from 1 species